rnacentral:rRNA from 1 species
AUACGGAGGAUGCAAGCGUUAUCCGGAUUUAUUGGGUUUAAAGGGUGCGUAGGCGGUUUGCUAAGCGGGAGGUGAAAUGCCGGCGCUCAACGUCGGAAGUGACUCCCGAACUGGUGGACUUGAAUGACUCUGCCGUGGGAGGAAUGUGUAGUGUAGCGGUGAAAUGCUUAGAGAUUACACAGAACACCGAUUGCGAAGGCAUCUCACGAAGGGUUGAUUGACGCUGAGGCACGAAAGCGUGGGGAUCAAACAGGAUUAGAUACCCUGGUAGUCCACGCAGUAAACGAUGAUGGCUAACCGCUGGGCUUAUCAGUUCAGUGGCCAAGCGAAAGCGAUAAGCCAUCCACCUGGGGAGUACGACCGCAAGGUUGAAACUUAAAGGAAUUGACGG